rnacentral:rRNA from 1 species
CUGAGGAACUGCCAGCGAUGAGCUGGAGAAGUGGGAUGACGUCAAGUCAUCAUGGCCCUUAGUCCAGGGCGACACACGUGCUACAAUGGCAGCUACAGAGGGUCGCAAUACCGCGAGGUGGAGCCAAUCCCUAAAAGCUGUCUCAGUUGGGAUCGGAGUCUGCAACUCGACUCCGUGAACGCGGAAUCGCUAGUAAUCGUGGAUCAGCCAUGCCACGGUGAAUACGUUCCCGGGCCUU